rnacentral:rRNA from 1 species
UACGUAGGGUGCGAGCGUUAAUCGGAAUUACUGGGCGUAAAGCGUGCGCAGGCGGCUUUGCAAGACAGAUGUGAAAUCCCCGGGCUCAACCUGGGAAUGGCGCUUGUGACUGCAGUGCUGGAGUGCGGCAGAGGGGGAUGGAAUUCCGCGUGUAGCAGUGAAAUGCGUAGAUAUGCGGAGGAACACCAAUGGCGAAGGCAAUCCCCUGGGCCUGUACUGACGCUCAUGCACGAAAGCGUGGGGAGCAAACAGG